GCCGCCGUAGCUCAGUGGAUAGAGCGCCAGUCUUCGGAACUGGGCGUCGCGGGUUCGAAUCCUGCCGGCGGUA
rnacentral:tRNA from 1 species